AUACGGAGGGACCAAGCGUUGUUCGGAAUCAUUGGGCGUAAAGAGCGCGUAGGCGGCUUGGUAAGUCGGGUGUGAAAUCCCGGGGCCCAACCCCGGAACUGCAUUCGAAACUGCCUCGCUAGAGUCUCAGAGAGGAAGGCGGAAUUCCCGGUGUAGAGGUGAAAUUCGUAGAUAUCGGGAGGAACACCAGCGGCGAAGGCGGCCUUCUGGACGAUGACUGACGCUGAGGUGCGAAAGCGUGGGGAGCAAACAGAAUUAGAAACCCCAGUAGUCC
rnacentral:rRNA from 1 species